UUCAACGACGUUUGCUUUGCCUUAAGAAAAAGUAAGAUGGCUACCGACGACAUCCUGGCAAUGUAGGUCCUCUACGAAUAAGUAUUCCAGAUCCGAACAGAACAAAUUCCGUAACUCUGGCGUUUUCAAGUAAGGCUGCCCACAAGAUUAAGAUCCCGUUCUGGCAUAAGGCCAGCUUGAAUCCACAACAGAAAUCAACAGCAAAACAUCUUGGUUCUCCUUUUAAGGACACUUGAGUGAACGAACUUGGGAGCAGACGCUGCGUAGUUGAGAGUCAUGUUCCCACACAACCUUACGUUACAUUUCCUUGCAUUGUCGACAUAGCGACCGACUGGUUUCAGUCUACCCCAGCUGAUUUUCGGCAGGUAUCUAGGUAGACCUCAGGUUAGUUUAGUU